rnacentral:rRNA from 1 species
UGAUACUCCAUAGAUCAGGGAUCUGGAAUGGCCCAUGGUUAAAGUUCCGACGAUUAAGGUCGCUAUGCGGCUAAUCAGAUUGUAGUGGGUGUAACGUACCCCUUAGCCAGUGACGAGUAUGGGCCUUGAGAGAGGGAGCCCAGAGUUGGAUUCUGAGACACGAAUCCAGGCCCUACGGGGCGCAGCAGUCGCGAAAACUUCACACUGGGGGCAACCCCGAUGAGGGAAUUCCUAGUGCUAGGACAUUUGUUCUAGCUUUUCUCUAGCGUAGAUAACUAGAGGAAUAAGGGCUGGGUAAGACGGGUGCCAGCCGCCGCGGUAAUACCUGCAGCCCAAGUGGUGGUCGAUUUUAUUGAGUCUAAAGCGUUCGUAGCCGGUUUGAUAAAUCCUUGGGUAAAUCGGGAAGCUUAACUUUCCGACUUCCGAGGAGACUGUCAAACUUGGGACCGGGAGAGGCUAGAGGUACUUCUGGGGUAGGGGUAAAAUCCUGUAAUCCUAGAAGGACCACCGGUGGCGAAGGCGUCUAGCUAGAACGGAUCCGACGGUGAGGGACGAAGCCCUGGGUCGCAAACGGGAUUAGAUACCCCGGUAGUCCAGGGUGUAACGCUGCCGACUUGGUGU